rnacentral:rRNA from 1 species
GAUGAACGCUGGCGGCGUGCCUAAUACAUGCAAGUCGAACGCACAGCGAAAGGUGCUCGCACCUUUCAAGUGAGUGGCGAACGGGUGAGUAACACGUGGACAACCUGCCUCAAGGCUGGGGAUAACAUUUGGAAACAGAUGCUAAUACCGAAUAAAACUUAGUGUCGCAUGACACAAAGUUAAAAGGCGCUUUGGCGUCACCUAGAGAUGGAUCCGCGGUGCAUUAGUUAGUUGGUGGGGUAAAGGCCUACCAAGACAAUGAUGCAUAGCCGAGUUGAGGGACUGAUCGGCCACAUUGGGACUGAGCAACGGCCCAAACUCCGACGGGAGGCUGCAGUAGGGAGUCUUCCACAUUGGGCGAAGGCCUGAUGGAGCAACGCCGCGUGUGUGAUGAAGGCUUUCGGGUCGUAAAGCACUGUUGUAUGGGAAGAACAGCUAGAAUAGGGAAUGAUUUUAGUUUGACGGUACCAUACCAGAAAGGGACGGCUAAAUACGUGCCAGCCGCCGCCGUAA